GUGUCAGCCGCCGCGGUAAUACGAAGGGGGCUAGCGUUGCUCGGAAUUACUGGGCGUAAAGGGCGCGUAGGCGGCUUACACAGUCAGGCGUGAAAUUCCUGGGCUUAACCUGGGGGCUGCGUUUGAUACUUGUAGGCUAGAGGAUGGAAGAGGGUCGUGGAAUUCCCAGUGUAGAGGUGAAAUUCGUAGAUAUUGGGAAGAACACCGGUGGCGAAGGCGGCGACCUGGUCCAUUACUGACGCUGAGGCGCGACAGCGUGGGGAGCAAACAGGAUUAGAAACCCCUGUAGUCC
rnacentral:rRNA from 1 species